rnacentral:rRNA from 1 species
GGGCCCGCACAAGCGGUGGAGUAUGUGGUUUAAUUCGAUGCAACGCGAAGAACCUUACCAGGGUUUGACAUCCUGCGAAUCUCUUGGAAACGAGAGAGUGCCUUCGGGAACGCAGUGACAGGUGGUGCAUGGCUGUCGUCAGCUCGUGUCGUGAGAUGUUGGGUUAAGUCCCGCAACGAGCGCAACCCACGUCUUUAGUUGCCAGCAUUUAGUUGGGCACUCUAGAGAGACUGCCGGUGAUAAACCGGAGGAAGGUGUGGAUGACGUCAAGUCAUCAUGCCCCUUACAUCCUGGGCUACACACGUACUACAAUGGUGGUGACAGUGGGCAGCGAUACUGCAAAGUAAAG